rnacentral:rRNA from 1 species
ACGAACGCUGGCGGCGUGCUUAACACAUGCAAGUCGAACGGAGAACUUAUUUCGGUAAGUUCUUAGUGGCGAACGGGUGAGUAACGCGUGGGCAACCUGCCCUCCAGUUGGGGACAACAUUCCGAAAGGGAUGCUAAUACCGAAUGUGCUCCCUUCUCCGCAUGGAGGAGGGAGGAAAGAUGGCCUCUGCUUGCAAGCUAUCGCUGGAAGAUGGGCCCGCGUCUGAUUAGCUAGUUGGUGGGGUAACGGCUCACCAAGGCGAUGAUCAGUAGCCGGUCUGAGAGGAUGAACGGCCACAUUGGGACUGAGACACGGCCCAAACUCCUACGGGAGGCAGCAGUGGGGAAUCUUCCGCAAUGGACGAAAGUCUGACGGAGCAACGCCGCGUGAGUGAUGAAGGUCUUCGGAUUGUAAAACUCUGUUGUUAGGGACGAAAGCACCGUGUUCGAACAGGUCAUGGUGUUGACGGUACCUAACGAGGAAGCCACGGCUAACUACGUGCCAGCAGCCGCGGUAAUACGUAGGUGGCAAGCGUUGUCCGGAAUUAUUGGGCGUAAAGAGCAUGUAGGCGGGCUUUUAAGUCUGACGUGAAAAUGCGGGGCUUAACCCCGUAUGGCGUUGGAUACUGGAAGUCUUGAGUGCAGGAGAGGAAAGGGGAAUUCCCAGUGUAGCGGUGAAAUGCGUAGAUAUUGGGAGGAACACCAGUGGCGAAGGCGGCUUUCUGGACUGUGUCUGACGCUGAGAUGCGAAAGCCAGGGUAGCAAACAGGAUUAGAUACCCCGGUAGUCCUGGCCGUAAACGAUGGAUACUAGGUGUAGGAGGUAUCGACCCCUU